AAAGCAGGAGCAAUCUUGUGAGUAAAGUGGCGUACGGGUGAGUAACACGUGGAUUAUCUACCCUCUUGUGGGGGAUAACCCUGGGAAACCGGGGCUAAUACCGCAUAAGCUCGAGAGAGGAAAGCAGCAAUGCGCAGGAGGAGGAGUCCGCGGCCGAUUAGCUAGUUGGUAGGGUAAAAGCCUACCAAGGCUACGAUCGGUAGCCGGCCUGAGAGGGCACACGGCCACACUGGCACUGAAACACGGGCCAGACUCCUACGGGAGGCAGCAGUGGGGAAUCUUGCACAAUGGGGGCAACCCUGAUGCAGCGACGCCGCGUGAGCGAUGAAGCCCUUCGGGGUGUAAAGCUCUUUCGGCAGGGAAGAUUAUGACGGUACCUGCAGAAGCAGCUGCGGCUAACUACGUGCCAGCAGCCGCGGUAAUACGUAGGCAGCAAGCGUUGUUCGGAGUUACUGGGCGUAAAGGGUGUGUAGGCGGUUCUCUAAGUCUGGUGUGAAAUCUCCCGGCUCAACUGGGAGGGUGCGCCGAAAACUGGAGGACUAGAGUGCGGGAUGGGAGAGUGGAAUUCCUGGUGUAGCGGUGAAAUGCGUAGAUAUCAGGAGGAACACCUGUGGUGUAGACGGCUCUCUGGACCGCAACUGACGCUGAGACACGAAAGCGUGGGUAGCAAACAGGAUUAGAUACCCUGGUAGUCCACGCCCUAAACGAUGCAUAUUUGGUGUGGGCCAUUCAUUUGGUCUGUGCCGGAGCUAACGCGUUAAAUAUGCCGCCUGGGGAGUACGGUCGCAAGGCUGAAACUC
rnacentral:rRNA from 1 species